GACGAACGCUGGCGGCGUGCUUAACACAUGCAAGUCGAGCGGGUAAGGCCCUUUCGGGGGUACACGAGCGGCGAACGGGUGAGUAACACGUGGGUGACCUGCCCUCAGCUCUGGGAGUAAGCCUGGGAAACCGGGUCUAAUACCGGAUAUGACCUCCAUGACGCAUGUUGUGGGGUGGAAAGCCUUGUGCGGCUGAGGAUGGGCCCGCGGCCUAUCAGCUUGUUGGUGGGGUGANGGGCCCUACCAAGGCGACGACGGGUAGCCGGCCUGAGAGGGCGACCGGCACACUGGGACUGAGACGACGG
rnacentral:rRNA from 1 species